GGCGACAGCGAGUACCACUUCGCCUGGCUCCACGACGGCGGCCGGACCUACGACUGGCAGGGCGCCAACAGCUACUGCUCGAGCCUCGGCCGCGGCUGGAAGGGCAUCAGCAUCGAGACCAGGGAGGAGAACGACUUCGUCACCGAUGUGAUCGAACACCACGAGCUGCCGUGGGUCUGGACCGGAGGCCAACGCAGGGGACGCGACUUCGUGUGGCCUUCAGGAGCCCGUUUCGUGGGUCUGAACUGGUCUCACACCGGCGGG